ACUGCUUGAUCACAGAAUAGUAUAGAUUUCUCAUUAUGCACCAGACCAUCUCGUUGACUACCCUGACGCCAACCAUUUUCCACAAUGAGGAUUGGGAUUUUUUCAUCGCAUCGGGCUUCCCUCUUUGGUCCCAAGUCCAGUCUUGAGUGAGUCUUGCCUAACCUUCAUCUUGUCCUGGAUGGGCGUCGGCAUGCUACAGGAAAGAUGGCUGAAAGUGUUCUUCAUUCCCCAGCAAGGGGGAAGCCUGAUGGUCAGAAGGAACAGGGGAACCGCAGUACAUGGCACAGAGCAGCAUCCAGAUUUUCCAGAAUGAUAGGAGCAAGUGCUGAGGAGAAGCAGAGGAAAAGG